CAGCUAUUUAACCACGAUUUUCCCCCUUCAACCCUCAACAACCCACACCAAAGACAAAUAAGAAGGACGAAGAAAAGGAAAGGCUUCACUGGUAUCGGUUGUCGUUUCAAACUGCAAGUCAUAAACCUCUGGUUUGUUCACCCAUACUUUAUAGAGCAAAAUCUGCGUAUCAUCAAUUCGAAGGAGGUUGGGAUUAUGGCCAUUUAGGAGAAGGGAAUAUGAUUCCGGAUUUCUCGUAACUUGCGGUCACUGAGUGGAUAACUAACCACAUCGGUUGACUUGAGGUUUCCGAAUUUCAUGUACAGCCUAUCAAGCAGAUUUACACGGGGCGGAAGCACACAACUGAGAUUAAAGCAAAGGCAAUUCAACCACAUGGCGAUGCAAGGCCUUGUUUGCCCACUAUAAAAGAAGAACAAAAGAAAUAUGUCGAAAACAUUCUGGACGGACAUAAAGAAAUCCCCAGACGAAAAACCCAAAUUUACCUAUGGACGAAGGAGAUGUGGUUUUCGUAAGCAAUGGCAGAAAUAAAAGCAAGAUUGACAUGUUAGAGUUGACAAAAUUAAAGUUUAAGAUAUUGUAGAAUGGGCCUAGAAAAAAGUGAAUAUUAUAACCAGUUUUCAUGUGCCAAAACUCGGCAGACGGAGAGCCAAAGGAAAUCCAAAAUUUAGAAUAGUAUACCAGAAGAAAUUGGCGAUGGUGCAAUACUGAAUUGGAAAAAAGAAAA
rnacentral:sRNA from 2 species